rnacentral:lncRNA from 1 species
UUCACACACUAACUAGAAUGUCGUGGUUUACAAACUAGGAAGUCACUGCCUUCUGUCUGAUGAAAAAUUCUGGAGAGCUGGGGUCAGAAAAAAAGAAAAGUCGUAAGCGGAUCCCCCAAACAGAAUGCCCCAGGAAUUCACUUUUGUGCUUAGAAGAAGGACAGGAAAAGUAACCAAAACCCCAGGACUGAGAACCAGUCAUUGCCCUUCAUUACAGAUCCAGGACCCACAAGAAAAGGAGAGCUUCACCAGGAAGUAACUAGCUACAGAACAAGACACACCAUUGCAUUGAAUCUGCCUGGAGAAAACUCUGAGGGCUAAGGGGUGGACAGAGCUACAAGACCGAGAAUCUUGAAUCCCUAAAGGAUGACAUCAAAGGCCACUUGUCAGCUAGACACACCCAACUGGACUCUAUUUAAAUGAGAAAUAAAAUUCAGCUAUUUUAAGCCACUGAGAUGGAGAGGAUAUUCUGAAGUUGUG